CCUACGGGGUGCAGCAGUGGGGAAUAUUGCACAAUGGGCGCAAGCCUGAUGCAGCCAUGCCGCGUGUAUGAAGAAGGCCUUCGGGUUGUAAAGUACUUUCAGCGGGGAGGAAGGUGUUGAGGUUAAUAACCUCAGCAAUUGACGUUACCCGCAGAAGAAGCACCGGCUAACUCCGUGCCAGCAGCCGCGGUAAUACGGAGGGUGCAAGCGUUAAUCGGAAUUACUGGGCGUAAGGCGCACGCAGGCGGUCUGUCAAGUCGGAUGUGAAAUCCCCGGGCUUAACCUGGGAAUGGCAUCUAGGACUGGUCAGCUAGAGUCUUGUAGAGGGGGGUAGAAUUCCAUGUGUAGCGGUGAAAUGCGUAGAGAUGUGGAGGAAUACCGGUGGCGAAGGCGGCCCCCUGGACAAAGACUGACGCUCAGGUGCGAAAGCGUGGGGAGCAAACAGGAUUAGAUACCCUAGUAGUC
rnacentral:rRNA from 1 species